UGCAUCGGGAGAACACGAGGUUCUUAAACAGAAUCAUUAGUUAAUGUGAAUCAUGAUGAAGCUCAAUCCAAAGUAAAAGCACCGUGAUUUGUCUGGUAAAUGAAUCGUCUCAUCACAAACAUGGUUUUGUUGGACUGUUUUGCUGUCAGUGUAUCUCGUGUGUGCUCUGUCUCCAUUUGUGAGGUUCUUGUCUCCGUUGUUUCUCCAUCAGAGUGAAACAGGAACUGUGAUUAAACGUCAGAGCCUGUGGGCAUAUUUGGGCUUCUUGUCAGCUGUCGUCCUGCUGGAGCUGGGAUUUGCAGUGGGGCAGUGUUUGAAGUUUGGUCUAUUUCUGCCUCCAAUGUUCAAUGUAGCUGUGUCCCCAUGUCCACAUACAGUUGACUGUUUUCUCUCCCAACCAAAUGAGAAGUCAGUGUUCAUGUUCAUCAUGUUAGUUCUGGCCUGUCUGUCAGGCCUGCUGACCCUGGUGGAGAUGUGCACGGUGAUGAAGAUGGAGAAGCUCAAGAAAAAGUGCGAGGAGAACAGGAUUAAUAGCAUCCUGUGCUGUGAGAUGGUGUCAAACGACAAAGAAGAAGACGAUACUGAAAAGAAGUGGAAUGUCUCAGCGUGACACACUGACUUUCCUCAUGUGUGUUCAUGAGAUGAACACAAAUAUACAACUGAUAUGAUUCAUUUUUCUUUCUAAUCUUUUGUGUGAAACAGUAUUUAAACAAUUUAAAGCAUAUUUAGAACAACUCUUUUAUUUUGAAAAAUAAAUAUUUUUAAC